AAUAGCAGAUUCACACUCAUUGCCAGCCACACAUUUCCUACUCAAAUUAAGUAACUUGAAUAGAUUCCGUCACAUGACAUAACUAUUGUAUGCUUUUCAUGUCACAUGAAGAUCUAUCUGACUGUAUAAAUGACAGACAAAGUUAAGCACAACAUCUAUGUGCAAGUGUUCUCUAUGGGCGUGGGAGAAAGAGGGAACAAAGAAAGAUUCUCAUAUGUUUGCAGGUUCUGUUACAUAAUCUUUCCUUCUGUCUGUACUUUCUGUUUCUCUUUUUAAGGGCUGUGGGGGGUUAACUGGAGGCAGGGUUUUAUCCAUCCCUUCCUGUUACUGAUUUGAGGCUCUGCUCACAACUAACUGCAGAUAACAGGCAUGGGUUGAUAAACCUCUGCAUCCAGUUUGGUCUCUGCCCUUUUAGAGGAUAUUUGGGCAAUAUACAUUUAUUGUUAUGUGAGUUUUUAAGUUUACUUGGAGAGAUAACUAGCUUUGUUUGUAAACUUAUUUGUCCUUAUCCCAGAUCUGUUAUUAGGUGUUUAAAGCUUGAGAUACUAUUAUGCAAGCUUUUAAAGCUUAUUUACAUAAUACCCAGUUGUUACUUAUUUGGCUGAUACCCAGAUGGUGCUACUUAUUUGGGUUAUGCCCAGAUAAUGUUAUGUCUGCAUUUAAAUCUAAUUUGGGCAAUACCCAGAUCACUUCUGUAAGGUUUUAACUCCUUAUUUGGGCAAUACCCAGAUGCAAGCGUUUUGAAAGCCUAUUUAGGCAAUUUAUAUGGAUAACACCCAAGUGUGAGCUUUAGGCGGUAUACAGAGCUGUUAUGUAGAGUUUGCUCAAUUCUCAGGUGCCAUAAAUUGACCAAGUCUUGGACAUUGUUUUUAACCUAGCAUUCUUUGGAAUUUAGAGCUUCUGCUCGCAUGGUUUUGUGUAAUUUUCAGCAGAUCUAGUUGAUUCUUAUAAAGCUUCAUCUUAAAAUAUGGGUUUUUUCUGUGGUUUAUUUGGGUAGAUUUUGUUGUGGUCUGCAAUUUUUUUUCAGAGCAGUUGUGUUUAGGAUGAUUUUGAUUGAUGGAUUUUUCCCAGGUCCUGGGUGUGUACUUGCAGACUGGCAUAUAUGACUGUUUUAAAGACCAUGCACCUACCUGACCUACAACUACCUAGUUCUAAGGCACCUUCCUUCGAGUGGGAUUUGAACUUGUGAACUCUUUCAAGAGCACCAAGGUCGUACUAAAAAAGUGAAUGUAUUUAAAUAAUCUAGGUUACUUAAAUAGAUGUAAUAAUAUUUAAAUUAUUAAUUGAGAUUAAUUAAUUAGUAUA